ensembl:lncRNA
GUAAGUCUUAAAACAACCUGGAUAAGUGAAGGCAGAUGAAGGGGAUUUAACUACCAGAUCGGUAGCACCAUUCCAGUAUUCCUCUCCACCUGUUACUAUGGCCAGGACGACAGAGGCAUCAGCAAGCAGGACAAACCUCUGGAAGGUGGGGACAGCUGUGAUCCUUCAGUAGGCUGGCCCUGCCAUCGCAGCGAGAGCAGCAGUGGACAAUUGUGCAAAAUCAGUGUGAGUCCAGGGGAGGGCGUUACUGCUGGCUGGAGGUGACGGAGCUUCAAUGGAGGGUGAGUGAGGGCUGAGAUGUGAGAGAUCCCAGGCAGAGAGGGAACCUAAGGCUAAGACCUCAGGUUGUGCAAAGUUAUAAGGGCAUGACCACAGUGCUUGGCAACGUGAGGGCUGGUGGUGGUUGGGGGCUGGUGCCCCGUGACUCUUGCUCCUAAGAAGAGAGAACUCCAGGAUCCAGAGGGCUCUGGCCAACCUGUCCAGGCUUCAGGGGCAGAUGUUGAGAUUUCCAGGGCAAACUUGAGCUCGCCUGAACCUUGAAUUAUUGUUCUUCUAUUGGAAAACAACCUGGUUUGGGGUUCACUUUGAUUUCUAAGUGGUAGCAAGGGCUUUUUCCAGCCAGUUCACCCCUCUGGGCCUCAGUUUUCUCCUCUGCAUACAGGGUCAGGACUCUGAAGCUGUAAUUAGCUCAGAAUCACACAGAGAUAUGGUUAAAUGCUGAUUCCUGGGCCCCAGCCCCAGAGGUUCUAAGUCCUCAGAAUCAAGGCAAAGCCUGGGAACCUGCCAUGUAACAAGGGUCCGGGGGGCUUCAGCCACAGGUGGCCCUCAUGUGAGCAGCUUCCUGAGCUGUCUUGAUGUGCAGAACCACCUGGGGAGUUGUGAAAAGCACAGAUCUCUUCCCUGGAGGCUCGGGUCUGGGGAGUUGGCCUUGGGACUCUCAAAGUGGAGUCCGGCUGCAAUAGGAGCCGGCGUACCUGGGGAUUUGUUACACUUGCCCAAUGCCAGGUCCCACACUUGGCUCCUGAGGCUCAAUUUGCAGGGCCAGGGCCCUCAUUUGCUUGAACAAGCUCUCCAGCAAUCACUGUGGUCCAGGUGAUGGUAUAGUUAUCCCUGGACAGUAUCAUCGUAUUUAUUACACAGUAAACUAUGGUCCGAGGGCAGAGAGAGUCUUCAGAACACAAUGCAGACCUGCGAGCUGAGACGGGGAAUGGAGUCGGAAUGUCCCAGACCACUGCACCAGGUCAUGCACUACGGCAGCAUCUCGGGCAGCCCAGUGAGGAGCUCUGGACCAGAAUGCCCAUUAGCUCUCUUAAAUAAGCUCUGGCCUGACCCGUGGAGGAGACGCUGGACUCGCCAAUUCCCUUCAUCAGAAGAAACAUUUCCCCCACAGCACAGGCUCCAGGCCUUGGUUAUUAAAUCAGCAAAACCCAAACGCUCCCAAGAUAAACUCCUGAUGUUGCGAUAAUAGCAGUCACCCUGGAGAAUCCCACCUGGUGCUUGUCACCCGUGCAAAUGCCAUCAGCAGCAAGCAUCCUGGCCACAACAGCCCAACAGUGCAAAAUGCUUUUCCUCACCUUCUCCAGGAAAAGUCCCAGAAACACUGAGCAUCGCUGGUCAGAGAGCCUUCCUCUCUCCUGCAGCCAUUGUUGGGGCCACUGUAAAGGAAUAUGGAGACUAACAGGUUGCAGGGGACAGUUUCUUUCCUAAAAUGAGCCAGAUCCUGCCCUCUCCCCAGCUCUGUUGGGCGGGUGUGCUAUGGUGCCUACUCCCCACCCCUCACCGUGCCCCCUCUCAAGAGCAGCUGUCUGUCUGUUUCUCUCUUCUCCUCUUCCAGUCUCUGCCUGUCUUAUUCUCUCUCAUCUGUUUUUUUCUCUGUCACACUUUCUCCCCUCCUCUUUUUCUCUCUCUUCAUUUCCCCGAGGUGGGUCCUUUGUAACUUUCCACUUCAAUAUUCUCACAUCAGAAAGUCCUCCCUAACCCUGGGCCAGUCUUGGGGGUUACUUCCCUAACUUUAGGCCAAUCCUGGGGCCUUCCCCUCCUGCCCUCACAGGGGCUGUCAUCCUGAAGUUCCCAACCUGGUCCCAGUGAAAGGCCAGGCUCCUCCAGCAGGCAGAUUGAGAGCCUUCCAGAGCCACCGCCAGGCCACAGGGCAGCUCUGGGUAAACGUGAGCUAAAGGAGACAGAGGCGGCUCCCAUGUCAGGGCACAUAUCCUGAGGACUUCAUAGUCCCCGGGCUCCCCGCUUGGCCAGACACCCUGCACGCGCAUGUGGAAGUUGGGGCUGCCAGGACCGAUUUCUCUGUGAGACGCAGCCCUGGGGAGGGAAGACAGAAGGACUGCUGUGGACUAAGUGGGUUCUUCCCACUGCUGCAGAGGCAAAGCCCAGAGUGACCCUCAACAAAGAAAGGCUCAUGGCCAUGGAUUUCCCAGAGGAGCUUGCUUAACAUGCAGAUUCCUGGUCCAGCGAAGCUGCUGAAGCGGGUUUGACCUGGGCCCUGAACAGAGCUCCCCAGGUGAUGCUGACCCAGCCCACACUCUGAGAGCCCUCGGUUCCCCAGAGCAGCGACCUGGAACCUGUGCGGAUUUGUAUCCCAAGGAUGAACACAUUUUACUUCUCACCCUCAAAAUAAGGGUAUUAACGUGUAAGUUUUAUACAUGUAAUCCUGAAAUCCAGGAUAUUAAAU